CAUCCUGGUUUCGUGGUCAGACUUUGUCAGGCAGAGACGAAGAAAGUGUUUAGAAAGAAAGAUGAAAAAAAUAAGACAUAAAUGCUCAACACAGUAAGGCUAAGAGAAAUACUGAAGGUAGAGCAAGUAACAGGAGGUGUUUCAAUGCCGCACAGGAGAUCGAUGGUGGCGACCAGCAGCAGUUGUGGCUCGUACAGAAGGAAAGGAACUGCCCCGCUGGGAGGAAAAACAGCAAAUAUGGACAAUGGAGACGUCAACAUUCAAGCCAUCAUCUUGAGACCAUAAAAGUACACAGUGUUACUUUGUCCAUGACUCUGUGACUGUAUGUGAGCCAGAGUGAAAAUGUAUGCUUGCUGAGAAAAUUCUUGAGAGGAUUAGAGCCGAUGAUGCAGAAUAAACCAGUGCUAAAUUA